GACUGGUCUGAAGGUAGUGAGUUGUCUCAAUUGAUUGUUCACAGUCAGUUAUAGAUUGAACUUAUUGUUCUACUCUUUCCCCCUUCUCACUACUGCACUUGACUAGUCUGUU
ensembl:misc_RNA Y_RNA Y RNA